rnacentral:rRNA from 1 species
AAACCAGCACCUCAAGUGGUCAGGAUGAUUAUUGGGCCUAAAGCAUCCGUAGCUUGCUUUGUAAGUUUUCGGUUAAAUCUGUACGCUCAACGUACAGGCCGCCGGGAAUACUGCAGGGCUAGGGAGUGGGAGAGGUAGACGGUAUUCGGUAGGAAGGGGUAAAAUCCUUUGAUCUAUUGAGGACCACCUGUGGCGAAGGCGGUCUACCAGAACACGUUCGACGGUGAGGGAUGAAAGCUGGGGGAGCAAACCGGAUUAGAAACCCGAGUAGUCC